ACAAAGGGCGCACUGUGAGGACCGAGAGGGGCCCGGGGGUGCGCAGAGCGAUCCUCGGCCUCUGGGGAUGCGCGCAGAUUCCGACUCUCGGGUAGGGGAGGCAGCGUGCGGUGUAUGCAAAUUGGAGAGACCGUGCCGAGGCGAAGGGAGAUGCUCUGAAGGCAUCACAGCAAAUAGACGCCUGGGGAAGAGACGAUGAUGAUUACUACUAUUUCCGAAGUGCUGUCCGCGGCCGCAAUCCUCCCUGCCGAGCGCCCGGCGCUUUUCACGGAGGAUUUGGCCCCGCCGGCCUCCUGCCCUGCCCAAUCUCUCUGCACACUGUGCUCAGGGGCUGCCGGUGGAGGGAAGUAUGGCCAUGGCGAAAUGGGACUUUUCUUUCUCUCUUCCCUGCCUCCCUCCAGCAAGAUUGAAACGCCGUGAAGAGAAAUGAAAACCUGCAGAACGCUUUCCCAAAUAAUUUAGGUGAAAAUUUGAGUACAGAAAUAUGCAUAUAUAUACCCCCGUAAGAAAAAAAAAGAUGGAUUGAAUUUAGGGGUUUUCCGUCUAU
rnacentral:lncRNA from 7 species